CGGAUUCAGGGAGUUCUUCUAGGAGUGAUUCGGAUGCCGAUAAUGCACAGUCUUGAGGCCAUCUAAUUAAAAGGGCUUUCCAAGAGUAGACUCAAGUGGAGAGCUGGAUCAAAAUGCCUUUCUUCUUUGAAUACCUUUCCCAUUUGGGGAUGUUGGGUUGUGCAGUAAAGGGGAUGUUAAACUCGGAAAUGUGUGAUUUGUGGAAUUUUUUUUAAUUGUUUCAAGCAUUUGGAGGAAUUGUUGGAAUGGGCAUUUUGGCUAUGGAGUGACGGAAAUGUAAAAAGGAGCCCUUGAGUAGGGUGAAAAAAAAGUAGGUCAAAUGGUACAGAACUGUAAGUGUAAACAGAUUAGGGAUUAGUAGAUGUAGUAGAGUGAAAGAUUUAGAGUGAUUGAGAGAUACCAUUGUACACAUUACCCCCGCAUUAAUACAUAUGAUUUUCUUGGAGAAUUUUGUGGUUCAA